UUUCCGUAGGUGAACCUGCGGAAGGAUCAUUAUUGUAUAACCGAGGUGCGAGGGCUGUCGCUGACCCGAAAGGUCGUGCACGCCCGAGUGCCCUCACACACAUCCAUCUCACCCCUAUGUGCACCACCGCGCGGGUCCCCCUUUGGCUUGUUCGGAGGGGGGCUUACGUUUUCACACAAACUUUGUAUGCAGUGUAGAAUGUAUUUUUUGUUUUUGCGAUCACGCAAUCAAUACAACUUUCAACAACGGAUCUCUUGGCUCUU
rnacentral:misc_RNA from 1 species